UCACCUCUACUCUUUGUCAAUGCAAUAGACCCCUUACAAAUAUUGCUUGAAGCUGCAACUAAGGUCGGCAUUCUCACCAAGCUUUGUGGUUGCUCGCCUAGCAUACACAUAUCUAUGUUUGCGUACGACAUGACCAUAUUUGUCAUGCCCAACAAAGGUGACAUAUAUAUGCUUGUAAGGAUCCUGGACUGGUGAAGUCACGAACUUGACAACAUACUUUGAAAAGUUGAUUGUAGCUCCAAUUCAAUGCAACAACAUCAAUCUCCGUGACGUCUUGUCAGGGCUGCUGGCAACGAGGAUAUCCUUUCCCUUCAAAUACCUUCGGUUGCCUUUGUCUUUGAACAGGCUAAAGCGAGCAAACUUUUAGCCCUGUAUUGACAAAAUAUCCACAAAGUUGAGUACGUGGAACGAGAAAAACUAAUCUACUGCUAGUUGUCUCACAUUGGUCAAUUAGGUCCUAACCUCGUAGAUCAUCUAUCCGCUUCUAGCACUCAAACUGCCUAAAGAGGUGAUGGACCUGAUUGACUCAAAACGUAAACAAUUUCUUUGGGCUGGUUCAAAAAGGUUGAGUAGUGGAAAGUGCAAAGUCAGCUGAAUUUGUGCAACAAUACCAAAGAAGCAUGGUGGAUUAGGCAUUCUGCAUCUCGACAAAUUUUCACAGGCCUUGCAUCUCGGAUGGUUGUUGUAGGAAGCCAAAAUGUUGGCUAGUUAGAGGAUGGUAAAAAUCUACUUGCACUACAAUGGACAAGCGACUCUUUGCAGCAGCAACCUUAGUCACAGUGGGUGAUGGAAAGUCUUCUUUGUUCUGGGAAAGCGCAUGGCUAAGGGGUAUGACUCUUAGAGACACCUAUCCUUUGAUCUUCUCUAUUUACAGGGGAAAAAUAGAUCCAUUCAAGAGGCUCUCUCAAAUAACUGGUGGAUACAGGAUCUAAAUCUUUACCAUGAUGAUUUUUCAUCUACGCACAUACAUGAAUACUUUCACUUAUGGGCAGAGGUAAUCCAGCUUUGCUUAUUGGAAAAUUCCACCCGAUCUUAUCUAGUGGAAGCUUACCUUGAGUGGCCAGUACACAACUCAGUCGGCCUACCACGCACAAUUCUUUGGCUCCACACUCACAAUCACUAACUUUAAUAACAUAAUUUGGAGGGUCUGGGCACCACCAACAUGCAAAUUCUUUAGUUGACUUGUUGUUCAGAACUGACUCUGGACAACAGACGUGUUGGCAAGGAGAGGAUGAGCUCACAAUCCGCAUUGUGUGGUGUGCUACCUGUACACAGAAUCUGGACUCACUUGUUUGUUGAAUGCUGCUUCACCAGACGUAUUUGGGGUUGAGUCUGUGGCCUUCAAGUGCUAAGAUUCACCAUUCAGCCUAGCAACCUGUAGAUUAUGUGCACCAUCGGUGGUCAAAUCUUGCGGCCUCUGCAGUAAGAGACAAUAAGGGCUUGUGAACCCUCAUCAUUAUCGUCUCUUAGAGGAUUUAGUGCGAGAGAAAUAAAUUUUCGAGCACAAAGAGACAACCCUACACCAGACUCUAGAAAAGAUCAAAGAGGAAGUCCAUAGAUGGAUCAUGGGAGGGCAAACCAUUUAACCAACUUGCUAUAAUUUUGUGUUAUCGGUGCAUUGGCGUGCAUGUCACCGAGAUUAGUGUCUUUUUCCCUUUAUUACCUGUAGCUCCUUGGGGCCCACAUCUCC
rnacentral:lncRNA from 1 species